rnacentral:lncRNA from 1 species
UGCCGACCGGGAAGGGAAAGGCAAUCUUGGGGGCCUCCGGAGUCCGGAGGGUCACUCUGAUGGGUGAUGUCUCCUGGCCUCAGUGAUGGAAUUAAGAUGACUUCUAUCUCUGAAUCCAAGGGUGACUGAAAGCCACAAGCUGCAGAAAGGACAAGAGGCAUCACCUAUGUGGAUAAAGACAGCAUCCUGAGUUGAUGGAGAAAUGGCAUAGAAGGAACCAGGUCCUUUGAUGACAUCAUGGAGCAAAGCUGUCUUCUUGCCUUGACCUGCUACCUACCUACAUGGGAAGCUGUUACUUGAGAAGGCAAUAAAAUCUAUCUUCUUUAUUGA